rnacentral:rRNA from 1 species
AUUGAACGCUGGCGGCAGGCUUAACACAUGCAAGUCGAGCGGAGAUGAGGUGCUUGCACCUUAUCUUAGCGGCGGACGGGUGAGUAAUGCUUAGGAAUCUGCCUAUUAGUGGGGGACAACAUUCCGAAAGGAAUGCUAAUACCGCAUACGUCCUACGGGAGAAAGCAGGGGAUCUUCGGACCUUGCGCUAAUAGAUGAGCCUAGGUCGGAUUAGCUAGUUGGUGGGGUAAAGGCCUACCAAGGCGACGAUCUGUAGCGGGUCUGAGAGGAUGAGCCGCCACACUGGGACUGAGACACGGCCCAGACUCCUACGGGAGGCAGCAGUGGGGAAUAUUGGACAAUGGGGGGAACCCUGAUCCAGCCAUGCCGCGUGUGUGAAGAAGGCCUUAUGGUCGUAAAGCACUUUAAGCGAGGAGGAGGCUACUGAGACUAGUACUCUUGGAUAGUGGACGUUACUCGCAGAAUAAGCACCGGCUAACUCUGUGCCAGCCGCCGCCGUAAUAC